GCAGGGGCAGAAAAGAGAUUCAGAAGAGAAGCCUGAGCUGGAGGAGUGAAGUCCCAAAGAAGAGACUUGGAUCCCUGAAAAGAAACAGAUUCUAAACCUGAAGAAUGCUCCCAAGUGUAUAAAGAAAAAGAAAAGAACUGCAGUGCCUCCUUCUGCAUUGACAGAUAUUAUGAGACCAUCACGAUUACAGAAUUUUUCAUUUUUCCUUCUUGUCUACAUAAAGAUGUACCUACAAAUAGAAUAGGAAUUGGCAAGAUUGAACAGUUAUCUUCUAUUAUUUUAUAGCUUUAUUUAAUAAAAUACUCUGGAUAUAGA